rnacentral:rRNA from 1 species
AAUGAAAAAACAAGAGUACAACUCUUAGCGGUGGAUCACUCGGCUUGAAUCACUA